rnacentral:rRNA from 1 species
UACGUAGAGGGCUAGCGUUGUCCGGAAUCAUUGGGCGUAAAGAGCGUGUAGGCGGCCCGGCAAGUCCGCUGUAAAAGUCAAAGGCUCAACCUUUGAAUGUCAGUGGAUACUGCCGGGCUAGAGUCCGGAAGAGGCGAGUGGAACUCCUGGUGUAGCGGUGGAAUGCGCAGAUAUCAGGAAGAACACCAACAGCGAAGGCAGCUCGCUGGGACGGUACUGACGCUGAGACGCGAAAGCGUGGGGAGCGAACAGG